rnacentral:rRNA from 1 species
GACGAACGCUGGCGGCGUGCUUAACACAUGCAAGUCGAACGAAGUGGCGAACGGGUGAGUAACGCGUAAUCAACCUGCUCUUCAAAGGGGAACACAAGUUGGAAACGACUGCUAAUACCGCAUACGGAAGGAGGGGAUUGCGACUGAUUAGCUAGUUGGAGGGGUAACGGCCCACCAAGGCGAUGGUCAGUAGCCGGUCUGGUAGGGUGAACGGCCACAUUGGGACUGAGACACGGCCCAGACUCCUACGGGAGGCAGCAGUGGGGAAUCUUCCGCAAUGGACGAAAGUCUGACGAAGCAACGCCGCGUGAGUGAUGACGGCCUUCGGGUUGUAAAGCUCUGUUAAUCGGGACGCGGUACCGGAAUAGAAAGCCACGGCUAACUACGUGCCAGCAGCCGCGGUAAUUC